GAUGAACGCUAGCGGCAGGCUUAACACAUGCAAGUCGAGGGGCAGCAUAGAAGUAGCAAUACUUUGGUGGCGACCGGCGCACGGGUGAGUAACGCGUAUGCAACCUACCUAUCAGAGGGGAAUAACCCGGCGAAAGUCGGACUAAUACCGCAUAAAACAGGGGCACCGCAUGGUGAUAUUUGUUAAAGAAAUUCGCUGAUAGAUGGGCAUGCGUUCCAUUAGGUAGUUGGUGAGGUAACGGCUCACCAAGCCGACGAUGGAUAGGGGAACUGAGAGGUUGGUCCCCCACACUGGUACUGAGACACGGACCAGACUCCUACGGGAGGCAGCAGUGAGGAAUAUUGGUCAAUGGGCGGGAGCCUGAACCAGCCAAGUCGCGUGAAGGAAGAAGGAUCUAUGGUUCGUAAACUUCUUUUGCAGGGGAAUAAAGUGCGGGACGUGUCCUGUUUUGUAUGUACCCUGAGAAUAAGGAUCGGCUAACUCCGUGCCAGCAGCCGCCGUAAUAC
rnacentral:rRNA from 1 species